rnacentral:lncRNA from 10 species
UGCAGUCCCUGCGAUUGUGGGAUCCUGACUAUGUCAGGAUUUUGGCUUUGCAGGGUGUGGCAAGGGUCUUGCUCUUGCCUGGGGCUGGAGUGCAGGGUGAAGUCACACCUCAUUGCAGCCUCAACCUCCCAGACUCAAGCAAUCCUCCCACCUCAGCAGGCAUAUAUAAAUGGAAUCAUCGAAAUUUAAAAUUUGCACUUCAAAGAACACCAUCAAGAAAGUGAAGACAACCCAGAGAAUGGGAGAAAAUAUUUGCAAUCAUAUAUCUGAUAAAGGACAUGUAUACAGAAUUUUGUAAAACUAUUACAACUGAAUAAUAAGAACAAAUAACACAAUGAAAAAAAUAGGCAAAGUAUUUGGUUAGAUAGUUCUCCAAAGAAGAUAUAUAAUGGCCAAUAAACACAUGAAAAGAUGCCGAACAUCAUUAGCCAUCAGGGAAAUGCAAAUCAAAA